rnacentral:rRNA from 1 species
UACGUAGGGUGCGAGCGUUAAUCGGAAUUACUGGGCGUAAAGCGUGCGCAGGCGGUAAUGUAAGACAGAUGUGAAAUCCCCGGGCUCAACCUGGGAACUGCAUUUGUGACUGCAUCGCUGGAGUGCGGCAGAGGGGGAUGGAAUUCCGCGUGUAGCAGUGAAAUGCGUGGAUAUGCGGAGGAACACCGAUGGCGAAGGCAAUCCCCUGGGCCUGCACUGACGCUCAUGCACGAAAGCGUGGGGAGCAAACAGG